GGCGGGGCCUCUGGGUCGGAGGCGGGGCUAAGGCAGCAUCUCUGAGAAGCUGCGGCCUUGCCUUUCCAAGUCUAAGAGGCUGCUGAGCAACGCGAGCAGAACCGGAAGUAGCCGUUCCCCACUUCCGGUGGCUGGCGGCCGGUCACCACACUCGGUCUGCGCGCUCCUCCCGCUGCCCACCCAGCCCAGCUGUGUGGGGCCUGAGCGCGCCCUCCGGGCCGGGCCGCAGUCUGGGGCGGGGUCUCUGUACAGCCUCUCCCAGGAGUUCAUGAGCCCAGGAGGGUGACCGAGGGGGCUUCAGCUCGGCCUGGAAAGGAAGGCGCCGGCGGCAUGGCCGGAGCUGCGCACUCCCCGCCGGCCCUGCCGUCCGGAGGGUGCGGUGGGGCCUGGACUGGCGCGUGUGCAGAGGCCUGGUCAGCAGCCUGCUUGUCCCUCGGUUGGUUCGCUGCCUUCCCUGCUUUGGGUCGCGAAGCAUUUCCAACAAUCCUAUCCACAGUGAAAGCCUGGUGACUACUUCAUUCCCACCCUUGCCUUCCUGCAAACACAGUGGAAUCAGGUGCUUGUUAAUCAUGAGAUGUAAACAUCCAGCUCCUGAUAAUGGGAAGAGCAGCAGAAGAUGCCCAAGUGUUUGGGCCCUGUCCCUCAGGUGGGAGACCUGGAUGAGCCCCCAGCUUUCCCCUGGCCCAGCCUUCAUGGUUGCAGCCAUCUGAGGAGUGAACACAUGGAUGGAAGAUCUCUGUUUCUCCUUCUUUCUCUGUAACUCUGACUUUCAAAAUGAAUAAAACUUUUUAAAAAGUGAGUUAUCUGGAAUCUCUUAAUGAUGGGUACAAUCGCCCCAUGCAAUAUGUAGGCUGGACUUGGUGAAGGCAAUGGAUAUUUGGGUGCUUUGCCCAGGUUGCCUUUUCUGGAGAGAGCUGGAGAUACGUAGAACAAGACUUCACAACAGCCCCUUGUACUACUCACCUUCCUGCUGACCACCUCUCUGCUGUUUGUAUUUUUUAUCACAAAAUAAUUGAGGCUACAAUUUAGAAAUGAUAAUAUAGAUCAUCUCCUGAGACCAUACAUGGAUUCUUUUUUUUUCUUUUUGAGGAUAUCUAGGGCUUUAUUUUGGAAUGCAGAGGCCAUACAGCAGAUGGAAGAUCUCUCUCUCUCUCUCCCUCUCAUUGUAAGUGUACCUCUCAAAUAAAUAAAAUCUUGAAUCAGGGGGAGAGGGAAGGAGAGGAAGAGGAGGAGGGAGAGGGGGAGGAGGAGAAGAAGAAGGAAGAAAAGACUAAAACAUGCCUUCCCUGUCCCGGAGCUGGCAUGGGUUGCCACUUGCACCAUGGGCACCAGUUUGAGUCCCGGCUGCUCCACUUCCCAUGCAGAUGGCUGGGAAAGCAGUGGAAGAUGGCCUGAGUGUUGGGGCCCUGCACACACAUGGGAGACCCGGAAGAAGCUCCUGGCUUUGGCCUGGCUCAGCCCUGUCCAAUGGGGCCACUUGGGGAGUGAACCAGUGGAUGGAAGACCUGUGUGUGUGUCACUCUGUCUUUCAAACAAAUGACCCAAGACAGCUUCAAAAGCAAAUGAGGUCUCAGCUCUGGGUUAACACAGGGACCAGGAUCUGCCCACUCUCCAGGAAAAGUCCUCUUCUGCACAGGGAAUGCUGGGAGCUCUCUUUCCUUACUCAAAGCUCUGCUCAAAUAACACCCAUCCCAGCCUUACACUAGCUGUGCCCCCCUUCAGGGGCAGCCAAGAUGGGCCCGAGUUGUGGGGGCAGGUCAGCUACGUGUGGGCUGCCUCAGGGCCUUUGCACAAGCCACUCUCCACCUGACUGCUCUUCCCACUCAUCUUCCAUCUUGUCGCUACUCAAGUGUCGCCUCCUGCACAGAUCUUCCUCAGACACUUUAUCCACAUCACCGGGAGGUAGGUCCUGUGUCUGACCAUUGUCUAGGCAGUUACACAGCCUCGCCUUACAGUGGCUGUCUCUGCCCACAUACCAUGAGCACCGAGGAGCUGGCAGACACGUCUGCCCCAUCCCCCUGAUUUUUUGCUUGGCAAUUUUGCAAGAUGAUUGCAUUUUUCCUGAGAAACCCCAAAGGAAGAUUAGUUCACAUAGUCAGAUAAAGCUGAAUAGAAAUAACACAAGACAGAGAAAUGCAAGGAGGGUAGGGUUCGGAAGCUUGCAAAGUCUUUGAGAUAUCAAGAUUUAUUUAUUUAUUUGAAAGGCAGAGUUA